rnacentral:rRNA from 1 species
AAGGCUAAACAAACUUGGAGAUAGCUGGUUCUCUCCGAAAACUAUUUAGGUAGUGCCUCACGUAUUGCUGCCGGGGGUAGAGCACUGUUAUGGCUAGGGGGUCAUGGCGACUUACCAAACCAUGGCAAACUCCGAAUACCGGCAAGUACAGCGAGGGAGACAGAGCACCGGGUGCUAACGUCCGGACUCAAGAGGGAAACAACCCAGACCGCCAGCUAAGGUCCCUAAAAUUGGCUAAGUGGGAAACGAAGUGGGAAGGCUAAAACAGUCAGGAUGUUGGCUUAGAAGCAGCCAUCAUUUAAAGAAAGCGUAAUAGCUCACUGAUCGAGUCGUCCUGCGCGGAAGAUGUAACGGGGCUAAGCCAGUUACCGAAGCUGCGGAUUUGCAAUUUAUUGCAAGUGGUAGGAGAGCGUUCUGUAAGCCUGUGAAGGUGUCUUGUGAAGGAUGCUGGAGGUAUCAGAAGUGCGAAUGCUGACAUGAGUAGCGUUAAAGGGGGUGAAAAGCCCCCUCGCCGAAAGCGCAAGGUUUCCUACGCAACGUUCAUCGGCGUAGGGUGAGUCGGCCCCUAAGGCGAGGCAGAGAUGCGUAGCUGAUGGGAAACAGGUCAAUAUUCCUGUACCGAUGUGUAGUGCGAUGUGGGGACGGAGAAGGUUAGCUCAGCCAACUGUUGGAUAUGUUGGUUCAAGCCUGUAGUCAUGCCUGGUAGGCAAAUCCGCCGGGCUUAGAUGAGGGGUGAUAACGAGUCUGCUUGCAGACGAAGUGAGUGAUACCCUGCUUCCAGGAAAAGCCACUAAGCUUCAGCUUGUAAUUGACCGUACCGCAAACCGACACUGGUGCGCGAGAUGAGUAUUCUAAGGCGCUUGAGAGAACUCUGGAGAAGGAACUCGGCAAAUUGACACCGUAACUUCGGGAGAAGGUGUGCCCUCAGUAGGUGAACCUGUACAAGGGGAGCCCAAAGGGGUUGCAAAGAAUAGGUGGCUGCGACUGUUUAUUAAAAACACAGCACUCUGCAAACACGAAAGUGGACGUAUAGGGUGUGACGCCUGCCCGGUGCUGGAAGAUUAAUUGAUGGGGUGCAAGCUCUUGAUCGAAGUCCCAGUAAACGGCGGCCGUAACUAUAACGGUCCUAAGGUAGCGAAAUUCCUUGUCGGGUAAGUUCCGACCUGCACGAAUGGCGUAACGAUGGCCACACUGUCUCCUCCAGAGACUCAGCGAAGUUGAAAUGUUUGUGAUGAUGCAAUCUCCCCGCGGAAAGACGGAAAGACCCCAUGAACCUUUACUGUAGCUUUGUAUUGAAUUUUGAACAGACCUGUGUAGGAUAGGUGGGAGGCUUUGAAGCUGGGACGCUAGUUCUAGUGGAGCCAACGUUGAAAUACCACCCUGGUGUGUUUGAGGUUCUAACCUAGGUCCCUAAUCGGGAUCGGGGACCGUGCAUGGUAGGCAGUUUGACUGGGGCGGUCUCCUCCCAAAGUGUAACGGAGGAGUUCGAAGGUACGCUAGUUACGGUCGGACAUCGUGACGAUAGUGCAAUGGCAUAAGCGUGCUUAACUGCGAGACUGACAAGUCGAGCAGGUGCGAAAGCAGGACAUAGUGAUCCGGUGGUUCUGAAUGGAAGGGCCAUCGCUCAACGGAUAAAAGGUACUCUGGGGAUAACAGGCUGAUA